ACUCCUACGGGAGGCAUCAGUGGGGAAUUUUGGACAAUGGGGGAAACCCUGAUCCAGCAAUGCCGCGUGAGUGAAGAAGGCCUUCGGGUUGUAAAGCUCUUUUGUCAGGGAAGAAACACCGGCUCUAACACAGUCCGGGAAUGACGGUACCUGAAGAAUAAGCACCGGCUAACUACGUGCCAGCAGCCGCGGUAAUAC
rnacentral:rRNA from 1 species